AGCGAACGCUGGCGGCAGGCCUAACACAUGCAAGUCGAACGAACUCUUCGGAGUUAGUGGCGGACGGGUGAGUAACACGUGGGAACGUGCCUUUUGGUUCGGAAUAACUCAGGGAAACUUGUGCUAAUACCGAAUGUGCCCUUCGGGGGAAAGAUUUAUCGCCAUUAGAGCGGCCCGCGUCUGAUUAGCUAGUUGGUGAGGUAACGGCUCACCAAGGCGACGAUCAGUAGCUGGUCUGAGAGGAUGACCAGCCACACUGGGACUGAGACACGGCCCAGACUCCUACGGGAGGCAGCAGUGGGGAAUCUUGCGCAAUGGGCGAAAGCCUGACGCAGCCAUGCCGCGUGAAUGAUGAAUGUCUUAGGAUUGUAAAAUUCUUUCACCGGGGACGAUAAUGACGGUACCCGGAGAAGAAGCCCCGGCUAACUUCGUG
rnacentral:rRNA from 1 species